rnacentral:rRNA from 1 species
CAUACGACCGUACCGCAAACCGACACUGGUGCGCGAGAUGAGUAUUCUAAGGCGCUUGAGAGAACUCAGGAGAAGGAACUCGGCAAAUUGACACCGUAACUUCGGAAGAAGGUGUGCCCUAUUAGUGUGUAGUGAACAACGAAGCAUGAAUGGGUUGCAAAAAAUCGGUGGCUGCGACUGUUUAUUAAAAACACAGCACUCUGCAAACACGAAAGUGGACGUAUAGGGUGUGACGCCUGCCCGGUGCUGGAAGAUUAAAUGAUGGGGUGCAAGCUCUUGAUUGAAGUCCCAGUAAACGGCGGCCGUAACAAUAACGGUCCUAAGGUAGCGAAAUUCCUUGUCGGGUAAGUUCCGACCUGCACGAAUGGCGUAACGAUGGCCACACUGUCUCCUCCUGAGACUCAGCGAAGUUGAAAUGUUUGUGAUGAUGCAAUCUCCCCGCGGAAAGACGGAAAGACCCCAUGAACCUUUACUGUAGCUUUGUAUUGGACUUUGAACAGAUCUGUGUAGGAUAGGUGGGAGGCUUUGAAGCAGGGUCGCUAGAUCUUGUGGAGCCAACGUUGAAAUACCACCCUGGUGUGUUUGAGGUUCUAACCUAGGUCCAUUAUCUGGAUCGGGGACAGUGCAUGGUAGGCAGUUUGACUGGGGCGGUCUCCUCCCAAAGCGUAACGGAGGAGUUCGAAGGUACGCUAGUUACGGUCGGACAUCGUGACGAUAGUGCAAUGGCAUAAGCGUGCUUAACUGCGAGACUGACAAGUCGAGCAGAUGCGAAAGCAGGACAUAGUGAUCCGGUGGUUCUGUAUGGAAGGGCCAUCGCUCAACGGAUAAAAGGUACUCUGGGGAUAACAGGCUGAUACCGCCCAAGAGUUCAUAUCGACGGCGGUGUUUGACACCUCGAUGUCGGCUCAUCUCAUCCUGGGGCUGUAGCCGGUCCCAAGGGUAUGGCUGUUCGCCAUUUAAAGAGGUACGUGAGCUGGGUUUAAAACGUCGUGAGACAGUUUGGUCCCUAUCUUCCGUGGGCGCUGCAGAUUUGAGGAAGCCUGCUCCUAGUACGAGAGGACCGGAGUGGACACACCUCUGGUGUAUCGGUUGUCACGCCAGUGGCAUUGCCGAGUAGCUAAGUGUGGAAGAGAUAACCGCUGAAAGCAUCUAAGCGGGAAACUCGUUUCAAGAUGAGAUCUGCCGGGGCCUUGAGCCCCCUAAAGAGUCGUUCAAGACCAGGACGUUGAUAGGUCAGGUGUGGAAGUG